rnacentral:rRNA from 1 species
CUAUACCGAGGCUGCCGAUCGAGCGAGCUUGCUCGCGAAGUGAUUGAACGAGGUUCCAGGAAAAGCCACUAAGCUUCAGCUACACACGACCGUACCGCAAACCGACACUGGUGCGCGAGAUGAGUAUUCUAAGGCGCUUGAGAGAACUCGGGAGAAGGAACUCGGCAAAUUGACACCGUAACUUCGGAAGAAGGUGUGCCCUAGUAGUGUGAAGUGAACAACGGAGCAUGAAUGGGUUGCAAAAAAUCGGUGGCUGCGACUGUUUAUUAAAAACACAGCACUCUGCAAACACGAAAGUGGACGUAUAGGGUGUGACGCCUGCCCGGUGCUGGAAGAUUAAAUGAUGGGGUGCAAGCUCUUGAUUGAAGUCCCAGUAAACGGCGGCCGUAACUAUAACGGUCCUAAGGUAGCGAAAUUCCUUGUCGGGUAAGUUCCGACCUGCACGAAUGGCGUAACGAUGGCCACACUGUCUCCUCCCGAGACUCAGCGAAGUUGAAAUGUUUGUGAUGAUGCAAUCUCCCCGCGGAAAGACGGAAAGACCCCAUGAACCUUUACUGUAGCUUUGUAUUGGACUUUGAACAGAUCUGUGUAGGAUAGGUGGGAGGCUUUGAAGCAGGGUCGCUAGAUCUUGUGGAGCCAACGUUGAAAUACCACCCUGGUGUGUUUGAGGUUCUAACCUAGGUCCAUUAUCUGGAUCGGGGACAGUGCAUGGUAGGCAGUUUGACUGGGGCGGUCUCCUCCCAAAGCGUAACGGAGGAGUUCGAAGGUACGCUAGUUACGGUCGGACAUCGUGACGAUAGUGCAAUGGCAUAAGCGUGCUUAACUGCGAGACUGACAAGUCGAGCAGAUGCGAAAGCAGGACAUAGUGAUCCGGUGGUUCUGUAUGGAAGGGCCAUCGCUCAACGGAUAAGAGGUACUCUGGGGAUAACAGGCUGAUACCGCCCAAGAGUUCAUAUCGACGGCGGUGUUUGGCACCUCGAUGUCGGCUCAUCUCAUCCUGGGGCUGUAGCCGGUCCCAAGGGUAUGGCUGUUCGCCAUUUAAAGAGGUACGUGAGCUGGGUUUAAAACGUCGUGAGACAGUUUGGUCCCUAUCUUCCGUGGGCGCUGCAGAUUUGAGGAAGCCUGCUCCUAGUACGAGAGGACCGGAGUGGACGCACCUCUGGUGUAUCGGUUGUCACGCCAGUGGCAUUGCCGAGUAGCUAUGUGCGGAAGAGAUAACCGCUGAAAGCAUCUAAGCGGGAAACUCGUUCCAAGAUGAGAUCUGCCGGGGCCUUGAGCCCCCUAAAGAGUCGUUCAAGACCAGGACGUUGAUAGGUCAGGUGUGGAAGCGCAGUAAUGCGUUAAGCUAACUGAUACUAAUUGCUCGUGCGGCUUGACUC